rnacentral:rRNA from 1 species
UACGAAGGGGGCUAGCGUUGCUCGGAAUUACUGGGCGUAAAGGGCGCGUAGGCGGACAGUUUAGUCGGGGGUGAAAGCCCGGGGCUCAACCUCGGAAUUGCCUUCGAUACUGGCUGUCUUGAGUACGGGAGAGGUGUGUGGAACUCCGAGUGUAGAGGUGAAAUUCGUAGAUAUUCGGAAGAACACCAGUGGCGAAGGCGACACACUGGCCCGUUACUGACGCUGAGGCGCGAAAGCGUGGGGAGCAAACGGG